rnacentral:lncRNA from 1 species
GUAAAAACUUUCAACUAUUUCUAUUUCUUCUGUGUCAUUUAAGAGGCUUUCAAGGUGCACUGUACCUCUCAGACCAGUACUGCAUGAAGAAUUUGGGCUCAGCAGAUGAUGAAUUGAAAAUCCUUGCUCUCCCAACUGCUGAUUAAAUCAUGAAAUAAGAAGAGAAAUUGCACCUUGCUAAGGUCAUGAAGAAGCAACUAGGGCUACUUACUGUGAGAUACCCUGCACCUGAUUCACAUCUGCAAAAAUGAAAAUGGAAAAUAGCAAACCAACAAAUCUUACUCAUAGAGGAAAUCUGAUCUGCUGCAGCACGGAAACAUCAGCAGUGAGAUGGCGCGACAAAAUCCUUAGGGAACUGUCUGUAAGUCUGGUCAACAUUUAAGAUGAAAAGUUUUGCAUUUUCUUUGGCAGGAUGUUACAUGCAGAGUUUAGCUGUAUGAGGCAAUUGCUGAGGCAAUAAGGGAAUAUUCAGGAACACAAGCUUUGAGUAGGUGAGUAAGCACAAAGGCAGAAAUAAUCUUGUUAGGAUUUUUUCUUUCUUCCCUGCCCCACCCCCUAAAUUCUGAAAAACCUUAUUGGUCGUUGAGACUUGCUAAAUCAUGCCCAAUUGAAACCGUGUUCUCCUAGAAUCCUGGAUACACCAAAUAGACCCCACUUUAGGGCUACAAUGGUUCAGCAGUUGAAAGAUGUGAGAAUAAGCCUUUUGUACUUUUGUUGCUUCACCUUGUGACAGUCAAGCAGGGCAGGGAUCAAAGGGAAAUCCCCCUGGGACACAGGCAGUGGUGAGAGAUAGGGUAGGAAACUGGAUAAGUAAGCACUGAAAUGGUGAGGAUGAGACCAAAAAAAAGGCAAACUGGUAGUACAAACUCGGGGUAGAUGACAGAGGGUGGGAUCUGGACAGCAGUUAACAGGAGGAAGAGGGACUUAGGGUUACAUGCUACUGAUGAUGAAAGUGG